AAACCAUGGUGUGGCAAUAUCUUAGCAAGUCCUUGUAUUUCUCCUAUGCAUCAUACAUGCUCUCAUCAUCAAAUUGCACAAAAGAAGAAAUAUCAUUACGCAUCUU
rnacentral:snoRNA from 1 species